rnacentral:lncRNA from 1 species
GAAUACUUAAAGAAUUUACUGACCUUCAGAGUGAAGAGAAUCCCUACGAAGGCCAAGAAGAAGAAGAUGCCAGAUAAAGAACUCGGCUUACUGACUGAGGAUUUGCAGGAAGUGUAGAAGCAGGCAGCAGGUGGAAAGUUCACACCUUUUUAGCCAGUCACUUUCACUGAUGAAUGCUUCCAUGUCUCUGGUUCCCUGCAGUUCCCAAAGGAUUGAAGAUAACAGCCUUCAACACAGACACUGCAUAAUGGGUAAGAUGUCUGUAAUGUAUAAUUCAGCUCAAG